UACGGAGGGUGCGAGCGUUGUCCGGAAUCACUGGGCGUAAAGGGCGCGUAGGUGGCUUGGCAAGCGUGUGGUGAAAGCCCGGGGCUCCGAACCCCGGGUCUGCCGUGCGAACUGCUAUGGCUUGAGCACUGUAGAGGCAGGUAGAAUUCCGGGUGUAGCGGUGGAAUGCGUAGAGAUCCGGAAGAAUACCGGUGGCGAAGGCGGCCUGCUGGGCAGUGGCUGACACUGAGGCGCGACAGCGUGGGGAGCAAACAGG
rnacentral:rRNA from 1 species